GUAUGGUGCAAGCGUUAUCCGGAUUUACUGGGUGUAAAGGGAGCGUAGACGGCUGUGCAAGUCUGAAGUGAAAGGCAUGGGCUCAACCUGUGGACUGCUUUGGAAACUGUGCAGCUAGAGUGUCGGAGAGGUAAGCGGAAUUCCUAGUGUAGCGGUGAAAUGCGUAGAUAUUAGGAGGAACACCAGUGGCGAAGGCGGCUUGCUGGGCCUUUACUGACGCUGAGGCUCGAAAGCGUGGGGAGCAAACAGGAUUAGAUACCCUGGUAGUCCACGCCGUAAACGAUGAUCACUAGGUGUGGGGAGUUGAACCUUUCCGUGCCGGAGUUAACACAAUAAGUGAUCCACCUGGGGAGU
rnacentral:rRNA from 1 species